rnacentral:snRNA from 1 species
CUGCUCACUUUGCCAGCACAUAUGCUAAUUGGAAUAAUACCAAGAGGAUUAGCAUGGGUCUUGCACAAGGAUGACAUGCAAAUUCGUGAAGCAUUUCAUAUUUCU